rnacentral:lncRNA from 1 species
CGGAAUUCUUCAUUUUCGGAUUUUUCGGAAUUUCCGAAUUUAAAAAAGAAAAAAAUGAAAACAGAAUACAGGGCAGCGGGGCUGGUGCUCGUCGAGAGAACGAGAGCGGCGUGGCUGGAGCUCGAUGGAGAGAACGAGGGCGGCGGGGCUGGUGCUCAGCGGAGAGAACGAGGGCGGCGGGGCUGGUGCUCGGCGGAGAGAACGAGGGCGGUGGGGCUGGUUUUCGGUGGAGAGAAAGAGGGCGGCGCUGCCGGUGCAAAAGGUGGAGAGAAUGACGAGGGCAGCGCAGCGCUGGUGCUCGACGGAGAGGAAGAGGGCAGCGCUGGUGCUGGCGGAGAGAAUAGGAGGCGCGGGUGGUGGUUGACGGAGAAUUGAGGGUGGUGUUGGUGGGAGAAAAGCAAAAGGCAGAGAGAAGAUAGUGGGGAGCGGCGUGAGGACUGGGCUGAGAAUGAGGGAGUAACUUCAAUUAGGGUUAGAAUUUACAUUUUAAUUGUUUAGAAAAUAAAGUAAUAAAUAAUAAUAUAUUUGUCCACUUUACU